GUCCUGUAAAAUAUUAUAAUCCUCUGGUUGAAGGAUGAAGAGACAGAGACCAGACUCUCCUGGACCCAGCUGUGUGUCCAUGAGGAGUGACCUGUCCAAAGAUGUCAUUAUUAACUUUAAAGAUGGACGUCCUGCUGAUGGAAGAGUUCAACAGGAGAGCUCAGAGGUUCACAGAGAUCAAUCAGACCAGCAGAAUCCAACAGACCUGGACUCCAUCUUUAUGGUCUGUUCAACACUCUGUUAUUUAAUAUUAGACUUGGUUGGUAUCAAUUUCUUCAUACCGUCUUGCCAUUAUACCGGGGUAUACUCUGUGACUGUGUUUCCAGCUGUGCUGUAGAUUCGCUCAGAUGCUGCACUUGAAGCACAGAUGCAGAGGUUUUUACACGCCACCUACCACGACAACUGCAGGCGAGUUUCAUUCAGAUGCUCACUCUAAUCAUGGAGGUUCAUUGCCAGGAAGAUAAGCAUAUCUUCAUUGUCCGGUUUUAGUUCAAUGGCAGGCGAGUUUCAUUUACUGUAAAAUCUGGUAUACAAGUCGCACCUGGUUUUUGAAGGUCUGUCAGAGAGAAAGAAAAGUUUAAACUGUCUUCCUGCGUGACCAUUUCAUGUUCAGUAACGUCAGCAACAUGCAGUUGCUGUGCAGCUGUGUCACUCGUUUAGUUCUGUUUGUUUUCACUUUCGGGAGUUUGCACUCCUACUAGCUACAGUACGGUGGUUGAGCUCUCAGCAUGCAGGGAAAGUUGUUAAGCACAAACCCCUAUCUUACGAGCUCUGUGCCCGACUCCGCUGGUCACUCUUUAACUUUAAUAAAGGACUCUUUUAGUGGCCACGGUAACGGGGGUCUACAUAGGAGCUGACCCCUGCUGGCGCGUGCUGUGCACUACAACCCCGCAGCUCAAUAAAUUAUAUUAGAGUCAGUGUAACAGAAAAAGUAUCGUUUUUUUCGCCGGUAUUAAAAGUCCUACGGUUGUGAUUUCUAAAUACCGUGGUAUACAGAAGCUUAAUACCGUGAUGCCGCCCAAGUCUAUUUAAUAUACUAUCAUUACAAGAAUUGAAUGCUGAGUUAUUUUUCUGUUUUGACCAAGCGGCAGCCUCCAUUCUGGAAAAAUGAAGCCUAUGCGGAAGUACAAAAAACUGCAGUUCCUCGAGGUUCCCGCUUGAGGCUGGCUG